rnacentral:rRNA from 1 species
GACGAACGCUGGCGGCGUGCUUAACACAUGCAAGUCGAACGGAAAGGCCCUUCGGGGUACUCGAGUGGCGAACGGGUGAGUAACACGUGGGUGAUCUGCCCUGCACUUUGGGAUAAGCCUGGGAAACUGGGUCUAAUACCGAAUAGGACCGCGCGCUUCAUGGUGUGUGGUGGAAAGCUUUUGCGGUGUGGGAUGGGCCCGCGGCCUAUCAGCUUGUUGGUGGGGUAAUGGCCUACCAAGGCGACGACGGGUAGCCGGCCUGAGAGGGUGACCGGCCACAUUGGGACUGAGAUACGGCCCAGACUCCUACGGGAGGCAGCAGUGGGGAAUAUUGCACAAUGGGCGCAAGCCUGAUGCAGCGACGCCGCGUGAGGGAUGACGGCCUUCGGGUUGUAAACCUCUUUCACCAGGGACGAAGCGCAAGUGACGGUACCUGGAGAAGAAGCACCGGCCAACUACGUG